rnacentral:tRNA from 1 species
GCCGGAGUAGCUUAAUGGAAAAGCAGGCGCCUGAAGAGCGUCUGAAGGCAGUCCGAUUCUGCCCUCCGGCA